ACUCCGUCCAGGGUGUAUCCUGCCUUGAUGCCCGAUGACACCUGAGAUAGGCACAGGCUCCCCGUGACCCGAGAAGUUCGGAUAAAGUGAAGUCUCCAGUGUCAGAGUUAAAGCCGUAACCUCUGAAAAUCUUCAGGCUGAAAGGCUUUCUUGUUUUUUUCCAGUCUGUAUUGUUAUUGUUAGUUACUUCAAAAGAUGAAGACGUCAAGAUCAAACAUGGGAGCUAUGGGAUGGCAGAAGUACGAUGUCUCCUAAGAAAUGUUCAGAAACUGUACACAAUACUUCUGUAGCACAUCCACCUCAAGUCCUGACAUGUUGUGCAUUCUGAGAUGCUUUUCUGCUCACCACAACUGUAAAGAGUGAUUAUUUGUGUCCUGUCAGCUUGAUCCAGUCUGACGUUUCUCCUCUGACUCUCUUAAUAAAGUGGCCAAUGUGUGUAUAUUUUAUAUGCAGUAUAUGAAGAAUAUGUGUGUGUCUGUAUGUAUGUAAUAGAGUCUGAGUGAAGAUUGGAUGAGGAAAAAGAGUUUAGAAGAAGGAGACAGAAAGGAAAGGCAUAAAGAAAGAGAGAGAGAGAGACAUCCACACCUCCUCCCCUCAUCACACUGCUUCGCUUCUGUUACUAGGCAACACCUACAGGCAUGUGCUAAAUAAAGAUUAGCAUCCAGCUCUCAGAGCCUGAGCCCACCUCAUUCCUUCCCAUAAUCCCCCAGUUUGGACACGGAGCAGAACUACAGCACCACCACAGAAGACAGUGAGCUGGCCUUGAGGAGCAAACCCACAAUCAUCAGCUCCACUCCAUCAGCAGUCACCUGGAGGUGCCGUUGCGCUAACCGUGACCCAGAAGUACACACUGCAGCAGCUCUCUGGAGAACGAGCUGUGACGCACGCAGAGAAAGUGAGAGAGAAAGAGAGAGAGAGAGAGUGCGGAGGGUGGGGAGGAGCAGUUUCUAGUGGUUUCUUGAGGUAAAGGAGAGGUGGAGAACAGAGAUGAGAUGCUCGUCUCCUCCGUUAUUUUCAGUGACUUUUCAGAGCGUCAUCAUUGCAGGAGCUUACAUCCUAAAUACUUCAUCUUAAAGGAAUAGUCAGACAUUUUUUUUUUCAGUCUAAUCUCUACCCAGGGCAUCUACAGAGUACAUGUGCAUGAUUACUGUAGAAAAGAAUUACACUUUUUUUUUUCUUCUGACCAAAUUCCAAUACGAUAUAUUUUUUUUUUUUGUUCCUUACCAAAACCCAUUAUGACAAUAUUCAGUUUUCUCAACUGAAUUCCAACACUCAAUUUCCAUUUGCUCCUAACCACAUUUUUAUCUGUGGCACACACUAAGAGAUUAUUGCCCCGCCUCCCCGGACCCAUUUCCUGCCCCCUAGUGGACAUGUUCAUGUUACACGACAGACACUUCGUAAACUUCACGUGUUCAUAAAUACAGGGAUGCAGAAGUAUAAAUCAGGCUUUAAUGUUCCGAGUCAGCGUUUACUCCGGCUAAUCUUAACAGGAGUUAGCAUGAGUUUGUACAGUCCGGACAGAACGUACCGUUCUACACAUAACUGUGCGUUUGUUAAGUUUGUUCCUGAUCUCAGUACAUCUAAACAUCCUAAUUAGAGAGAGGAAAAUUUUGGACAGACAUCCCUUCUAAGCAUCCCAGGCCAAAGAAACAGAAGCGAUCUAAUCCCCCAUGAAACCCUAGAUCAUCCCUAGCAGACGUUCGCUCCGUCUCGGCUUGCGCUCAUUGCGUAACCUUUUUUAUUAUAUAAUCCCUAAUGUGCAUUCAUGUCCAACAGGCUUAACCUAGCUUAGUAGAGUCUAGUGCACAAAGCCAGGAAGGAGGAAAAAAGGUCCAGCUUACAUGUUCCGUCCUCCCGAUGAACUGCUUACGUAUCCGACGUCAGGGUUUUUAUUACGGACCAGAAAUAAGAACAUGAUAAGUGUGCAUAAAGUCUAUUAAAGGAAACAAAAGAAAUUCUUAGACACAGCGUAUAUGGGGGCGAGACUUUUCACCGAUGAAUAAUACGUCGUUUUCACCAUCUAUUCUGCCUACAUCUUAGUCUUUGGAAAGGGUGAAGGAAAGCGAGGGUGUAGACAGCAGUGAAAGAAAACCAGAAUGACAUUUCAUAAAAAGGUGGCAAGAUGGAGUGAGAUUUUCUGAAAGAUUUAAUUAGCACUGUUGUUGCUGUGGAAAGAAAAUAAACUCCACUCAAGUCUGAGAGACAAACCACAGACAGAAUUAUAAAAAUGAUAACAUCCGUUCCCUUUUCUCUUCAGCAACACACACACCUAUAUUUGAGUGUGUGUGUGUGUGUGUUACACACAAUCACACACACCCCUGACCCAUUCACAGUCUGACAGUGUGUGUGUGGGUUUGCUGGCCUGUCGGCUGCUGUCUCGUCUGUGUCCCGCUCUCUGCUGCUGUUAUUUGGCUUGUUGAACACUGAAUAGAUCGGCACACCGAGGAGUUUGUUACUAUGGACACGGUGCUGGGGAAGGACCGUCGUGCCAAGCUAAACACCAGCCGAAUCUAGACAGCAGCAAGCACAGUUUCUAAAGCGUGCUGGAAAGAUAUUUGAUUCAGUAAUUAAAUGAAAGACUUUCGUAGGCAAUACAGAACCCAGGCAAUUACACUUCAAACUUUUAUUAAAAGUUGUAUUUACAUUCUAUAGAACACUUACAUGGGUGUUAAAUCAAAUGCAUUUUGGGUCCAAACUAAAAACAAAACACUGGCAAACACAGGGCUUGGGUUACUGUAGUAGCUUGUUUGACAUUUAGUCAUUGGCAAAGAAAAAUCUUAACAGUCCAAUUAGAUGCACGUAAAAAUGUUAAAAUAAAAAAAAUACAAAAAAAAAACAAAAAAAAAAUACAAAAAAUAAAA